UGUAAAAAGAAAAAUGAAAAUGUGCACUGUCGCUUUUGGUGUUUAGAAAUAGAUGUGGCUACACUGAUACAGGUUAAGCUUCCAUCACAGCACCUUAAUGCAGUAGUGACAAUGAGGCCUGAAACAUGU
ensembl:snoRNA